rnacentral:rRNA from 1 species
AGAGUUUGAUCCUGGCUCAGGAUGAACGCUGGCGGCGUGCUUAACACAUGCAAGUCGAACGAACCUUCGGGUUAGUGGCGGACGGGUGAGUAACGCGUGGGAAUCUGCCCUCAGGAGGGGGAUAACGGCUGGAAACGGCCGCUAAUACCCCAUAUGCCGAGAGGUGAAAUGAAUUUCGCCUGAGGAUGAGCCCGCGUCUGAUUAGCUUGUUGGUGAGGUAAUGGCUCACCAAGGCUUCGAUCAGUAACUGGUCUGAGAGGAUGAUCAGCCACACUGGGACUGAGACACGGCCCAGACUCCUACGGGAGGCAGCAGUGGGGAAUUUUCCGCAAUGGGCGAAAGCCUGACGGAGCAACGCCGCGUGAGGGACGGAGGCCCCUGGGCUGUAAACCUCUUUUCUCAAGGAAGAAGAUAUGUUGGUCUUUGAGGAAUAGUCCACGGCUUAUUCGUGGCAGCAGGCGCGUUAUUACGGGAGUGGCAGGCGUAUCCGACUUAUUGGGCGUAAAGCGUCGCAGCGGCCUUUCAAGUCUGCUGUUAAAACGUGGAGCUUAACUCCAUCAAGGCAGUGGAAACUGUUGGGCUUGAGUGUGGUAGGGGCAGAGGGAAUUCCCGGUGUAGCGGUGAAAUGCGUAGAUAUCGGGAAGAACACCAGUGGCGAAGGCGCUCUGCUGGGCCAUAACUGACGCUCAUGGACGAAAGCCAGGGGAGCGAAAGGGAUUAGAUACCCCUGUAGUCCUGGCCGUAAACGAUGAACACUAGGUGUCGGGGGAAUCGACCCCCUCGGUGUCGUAGCCAACGCGUUAAGUGUUCCGCCUGGGGAGUACGCACGCAAGUGUGAAACUCAAAGGAAUUGACGGGGGCCCGCACAAGCGGUGGAGUAUGUGGUUUAAUUCGAUGCACGCGAGGAUCCUUACCAGGGUUGACAUCCUGCGACCUCUAAGAAAUUGGAGGGUGUCUCGGACGCAGUGACAGUGGUGCAUGGCUGUCGUCAGCUUGUGUUGUUCGCUUUUGGGUUUAGUCCCGCAACGAGCGCAACCCACGUUUUUAGUUGCCAGCAUUCAGUUGGGCACUCUAGAGAGACCGCCGGUGAUAAACCGGAGGAAGGUGUGGACGACGUCAAGUCAUCAUGCCCCUUACAUCCUGGGCUACACACGUACUACAAUGCUACGGACAAAGGGCAGCUAACUCGCGAGGGCAAGCAAAUCCCAUAAACCGUGGCUCAGUUCAGAUCGUAGGCUGCAACUCGCCUACGUGAAGCAGGAAUCGCUAGUAAUCGCAGGUCAGCAUACUGCGGUGAAUACGUUCCCGGGCCUUGUACACACCGCCCGUCACACCAUGGAAGUUGGCCACGCCCGAAGUCGUUACUCCAACCCUUGUGGAGGAGGACGCCGAAGGUGGGGCUAAUGACUGGGGUGAAGUCGUAACAAGGUAACAC